GGAAGCCGGGUUACGGUGCCCAACUGCGCGCUAACCUAGAACCCACAAAGGGUGUUGGUCGAUUAAGACAGCAGGACGGUGGUCAUGGAAGUCGAAAUCCGCUAAGGAGUGUGUAACAACUCACCUGCCGAAUCAACUAGCCCCGAAAAUGGAUGGCGCUGAAGCGGCCGACCCACACCCGGCCAUCUGGGCGAGCGCCAUGCCCCGAUGAGUAGGAGGGCGCGGC
rfam:Hordeum vulgare subsp. vulgare, WGS project CAJW01000000 data, contig: morex_contig_1344667